rnacentral:misc_RNA from 1 species
AAGAGUUGCGAGACUCCGAAACAACCGCGAACCUUUACCACUACGUUGCCUCGGCGGGCGGCUCCAGGGCGGAGCCUCCGGCCUCCCCCCCCCCGCCGCCGCGGUGGGCGCGGGGGAGGUGCCCGCCAGAAGGCCCCAAACCAUGUCGUACCUAGGCCCCUCUGAGUACCUGCGCAAGCAGUCA